GGCUCUGAAUAAUUUCUCACAUUUUGUUAAAUUAGAGUUUUUGCUACAACAUAAGCUUCAAACUUUGUCAAGGUAGCACAAAUGUCAUCUUGCAUGAUUAUCUUAACCUUGCAUGCACAACAAAAAAGAAGAAUACUUUAGUAGCAUUAUACUUAGAUAAAAAAAAUUAAACAAAAAUAAAACUAGAAGAGAAAGAAUAGUAAACAAAAUUUAAGAAGAAACAAAAAUAAUUAAUUACCAAAAAAAUAUUUACAAUUGAAAACAAAAAUAAAAAAACAAAAAUAAAUAUUGCACAAGCGUCGUUUUA
rnacentral:lncRNA from 1 species